rnacentral:rRNA from 1 species
UAGGGAAUAUUGGGCAAUGGACGCAAGUCUGACCCAGCCAUGCCGCGUGCAGGAUGACGGCCCUCUGGGUUGUAAACUGCUUUUAUACGGGAAGAAAAGUUGCUACGUGUAGCAAAAUUGACGGUACCGUAAGAAUAAGGAUCGGCUAACUCCGUGCCAGCAGCCGCGGUAAUACGGAGGAUCCAAGCGUUGUCCGGAUUUAUUGGGUUUAAAGGGUGCGUAGGCGGAUCUUUAAGUCAGUGGUGAAAGCCUGCAGCUUAACUGUAGAACAGCCAUUGAAACUGAAGAUCUUGAAUUAGGUUAAAGUAGGCGGAAUGUAUCAUGUAGCGGUGAAAUGCUUAGAUAUGAUACAGAACACCGAUAGCGAAGGCAGCUUGCUGAACCUACAUUGACGCUGAGGCACGAAAGCGUGGGGAGCAA